rnacentral:misc_RNA from 1 species
UCUCCGUAGGUGAACCUGCGGAGGGAUCACUACAGGCUUGUAAAAGCUCUGAAACCACUGUUUAUCUACCUGAAUGUGCCUCGGCGGGCGGCGCCCCGGCGGGGCCGUAGCCGGCAGGCGCCGGCCGAAGAACCAUAAACCCUGUCUUCUUGAGCAACUCUGAGUGAUUGUAUUAAACAAAAAAAACUUUCAACAACGGAUCUCUUGGCUCUU